rnacentral:rRNA from 1 species
UGGGGAAUCUUGCACAAUGGGGGCAACCCUGAUGCAGCGACGCCGCGUGAGCGAUGAAGCCCUUCGGGGUGUAAAGCUCUUUCGGCAGGGAAGAUUAUGACGGUACCUGCAGAAGCAGCUGCGGCUAACUACGUGCCAGCAGCCGCGGUAAUACGUAGGCAGCAAGCGUUGUUCGGAGUUACUGGGCGUAAAGGGUGCGUAGGCGGCUCUAUAAGUAUGGUGUGAAAUCUCCCGGCUUAACUGGGAGGGUGCGCUAUAAACUGUGGGGCUAGAGUGUGGGAGAGGAAAGUGGAAUUCCUGGUGUAGCGGUGAAAUGCGUAGAUAUCAGGAGGAACACCGGUGGUGUAAACGGCUUUCUGGACCAUAACUGACGCUGAGGCACGAAAGCGUGGGUAGCAAACAGGAUUAGAUACCCUGGUAGUCCACGCCCUAAACGAUGCAUAUUUGGUGUGGGUCAUUCAGUUGAUCCGUGCCGGAGCUAACGCGUUAAAUAUGCCGCCUGGGGAGUACAGUCGCAAGGCUG